GUCGCAAGGCCGAAACUUAAAGGAAUUGACGGAAGGGCACCACCAGGAGUGGAAUCUGCGGCUUAAUUUGACCCAACGCGGGAAAACUCACCAGGUCAGGACACGGUAAGGAUUGACGGACUGAAGGAUCUUUCUCGAUUCCGUGGAAAGUGGUGCAUGGCCGUUUUUGGUUGGUGGAUCGAUCCGUCUGGUUAAUUCCGUUAACGAACGAGACCUCGGCACUCCGAAUAGCGCGGCGGACGUCGCGGCCUCCGGGCCGUCUUCCGCGCGAGCUUCUUAGAGGGACCGUCCCCCGCCGGGGAAGGAGGUUCGAGGCAACGACAGGUCUGUGAUGCCCUUAGAUGUUCUGGGCCGCACGCGCAUUACACUGACGCGUCCAACGGGCGACUCCCGGCCCGAAGGGGUCGGGGAAUCCGCAAGGCGCGUCGUGAUGGGGAUUGAACGUUGCAAUUGUUGUUCACGAACGAGGAAUUCCUAGUAGGCGCGGGUCAUCAACCCGCGCCGAUUACGUCCCUGCCCUUUGUACAC
rnacentral:rRNA from 1 species